GAAAUGCGAUAAUUAAUGUGAAUUGCAGAAUUCAGUGAAUCAUCGAGUCUUUGAACGCACAUUGCGCCCCCUGGUAUUCCGGGGGGCAUGCCUGUCCGAGCGUCAUUGCUGCCCUCAAGCACGGCUUGUGUGUUGGGCUUCCGUCCCUGGCAACGGGGACGGGCCCAAAAGGCAGUGGCGGCACCAUGUCUGGUCCUCGAGCGUAUGGGGCUUUGUCACCCGCUCCCGUAGGUCCAGCUGGCAGCUAGCCUCGCAACCAAUCUUUUUAACCAGGUUGACCUCGGAUUAGGUAGGGAUACCCGCUGAACUUAAGC
rnacentral:misc_RNA from 1 species